AAAAUCCGUCGACUUAAAAAAGUCGUGAGGGUUCAAGUCCCUCUAUCCCCA
rnacentral:tRNA from 7 species